AUUGAACGCUGGCGGCAGGCCUAACACAUGCAAGUCGAACGGUAACAGGAAGAAGCUUGCUUCUUUGCUGACGAGUGGCGGACGGGUGAGUAAUGUCUGGGAAACUGCCUGAUGGAGGGGGAUAACUACUGGAAACGGUAGCUAAUACCGCAUAACGUCGCAAGACCAAAGAGGGGGACCUUCGGGCCUCUUGCCAUCGGAUGUGCCCAGAUGGGAUUAGCUAGUAGGUGGGGUAACGGCUCACCUAGGCGACGAUCCCUAGCUGGUCUGAGAGGAUGACCCGCCACACUGGAAAUGAGACACGGCCCAGACCCCCACGGGAGGCAGCGGGGGGGAAUAUCGCACAAUGGGCGAAAGCCUGAUGCAGCCAUGCCGGGUGUAUGAAGAAGGCCUUGGGGCUGUAAAGUAUUUUAGGGGGGGAGGAAGGGAGUAAAGUUAAACCCUUUGCUCAUUGACUUUCCCCGCAAAAGAAGCCCCGGCUACCCCCGU
rnacentral:rRNA from 1 species